rnacentral:lncRNA from 1 species
GUUAUCCUUGAAGUAGUUGGUACCAAAAGCACUCGCUUCGACAAAACUUGUUUUAGAAUUUCUGUUCAUGCCCAAAUCAAGAUCCCUGUAAUUAGCAUAUGCUUCCCUAGGAUUCUUUGAGACAUAAGGUGUCAUGUAACUGUAAACCUUCCUAGUCCAAUUUAUAUGCUUUGCAACGUUUUCCGUUGCAUCUUGCCAACUGGACCAGUAAAGGAUCAUGAACUUGGUACCGUUUCUAUGAGGGAAAGGAGUCUGAGAUUCUGAAAUUUGGUUCAUCAUCCCACCAUAAGGAGUAAACACUACUAGAGGACUCUCUGCUUCAAAUAACUUCUCCCACAACCCUUCAAGUGCCUUUUCAGGUAUGGGUUUUCUGGCAUAGUCAGAUUUGCCUUUGAAGUAGGCCCUGUCCAUGUUAAUUCUUUGAAGGAAAACUUCAGGAGNNNNNNNNNNNNNNNNNNNNNNNNNNNNNNNNNNNNNNNNNNNNNNNNNNNNNNNNNNNNNNNNNNNNNNNNNNNNNNNNNNNNNNNNNNNNNNNNNNNNNNNNNNNNNNNNNNNNNNNNNNNNNNNNNNNNNNNNNNNNNNNNNNNNNNNNNNNNNNNNNNNNNNNNNNNNNNNNNNNNNNNNNNNNNNNNNNNNNNNNNNNNNNNNNNNNNNNNNNNNNNNNNNNNNNNNNNNNNNNNNNNNNNNNNNNNNNNNNNNNNNNNNNNNNNNNNNNNNNNNNNNNNNNNNNNNNGUAAUAGCUAGUUGAAUAAAAUUAUUAAUAUUAAAAAAUAAAUUUAAAAUAAUAUUUAAAUAUGCACACUGACCAACUAAACUAUUUGCAUGCAAAUUUGUUGUCAUAUGAAAUAAAUAAAUAUAUCAUGUGGAAUAAAUAAAUAUACUAACCUGCUUCAAUUUAUUAUAAUUUUAGAGUUUUAAUGAUGGAGAAAUAUAUCAUAUUAUAUAGUCCAAGAUUCAACGGAUCAUCUAAUAUAUAUAUAUAUACCAGAUUUGAACCUCCAACAUUUAAAUUUUUUGCUUUUCUCAGAAAUUCUGUAGGAAAGUUCGCCAUUCGUGGCUCCCGCCUGAACCCACGCGCUGUUGUGCUCAAUCAACGCUGAUAGACCGUAGCUUUGCAAGGUCUACAACAAUGAAAGAUGUCUCAAUUUCUGAUACAUAAGAGAGUCCCUCAUAAUCAUGGCCUCCGCUACGGACUCUAAUGUGAAUUCCAAGCUGCUUAGAGCAAAUAACAACAGCUUGGAUGUGAGAUUCUUGUAAAGGAGUGAAGAUAAACUCGGGUUUCGGUACUGGAGGCAAGGUGAACCUGAGGUUUUGAGCAGAAGAUUGUAAGACACUAGUGAAAGAAGAGUUUUGUGGAGCAUACAAGACAGUGGAAAAAGGAAAGGAGUAGGACCACAAGUAUUGAAAGUAUGGAAGAUCUUGAAGGCACCAUUUUUCCUGCUUUCUUGCCUCUCUGGCUUGCCUUUAAGAAUUGAUGUCUCAAGGAGUUCUUUUAUAGAGGAGCUAUGAACAAUCAACAGGAAAUUAAAUUAUUUUGUAGCUCGUUUUGUGCAGUGAGAUAUUUACUUGUGAUAUUACAAUGGGAUUAUAUAAAUUUGAAUGAUUCAUAUUCCAUGCAAUAUAGUCAAACUUUUAGACUUUAAAUGUUUAAUUAAUUAAACACAUCUUCCAAUCAUAUUAUACAUAUCAUUAUAGCUAAAGUGAAUAAAUCAAAAAAUUGAGGAUUGAUUUGGAAAUUAACAUAUUUUGGCAUCAUUUUCUUUAAAAUGAAACGACGUGUUUUGUUCAAAACGACACACUUUCAUGUACUGUUUUGAACGACAUUGUAUAUCUUUUUCUUCCCUGACGUGCAAAGGCAAGGGAAGAAGGUUUUUCUUCCCCUCCUUUGCAGCACCCAUAUUCCCUCUUUCUCCCUCUCCCCACUUGUCCAAACCCUGACACAACUCACACCCCUCACCUGCCACCAUGAUGAAGAUUGGACAAGGAAGCGAUACUCUGCAGCUGAGGCGACUGCACAGAGGCCACCCCAGCCACCCUACCUUGUCUCCAUGAUUCGACAAAGGUAGGGUAGCUCCCGCUUCCCCUAUCAUAUAAAUACCCCACUCAACAAGCCGAGAGCAGGGGGGAAAGAAAAACGGGGGAAACAGAAAAGAGAGACGAAAGAGAGAGAAGGAGGGAAGAAAAAGAACAAAACAAACCAAAGGAAAAAAAAUAGAGAAACAGAGACAGAGAGGAGAGAAACAGAGGGAUUGGGAAGGAACAAGAAGCAAAGGAAAAGGAAAGACAGAAAAAGGGUGGAGAAAUAAAGAAAAAAAAACCGAGGGAAGAAGAAACACACAAAAACAAAGGAAAAAAAGAAGAAGAAUCGUCGUUUGGAACAACCAUCCACCACGACAUCAUCGUCACCGAGAGCCACCAGCACCGUCAAUGCCGUCAGUAGGUCAGCCCCCCUCUUCUCCUUCUUCUUCUGCUCAUUUUCUCGUGUCUACUGCCUUGUAGAGCGAACAGUGAAGAGUUGCUCCACUGUUAACUAGGUCGAACAACGCCGAUCCAGAUCAAAAUGGAUGGGCCGGGUCCUGCCCAAUCCGAAAGGAAAAAAAACAUCUGGUGGGCCAAAUCGAGCCAACCCCAAUACCUUGGGCCGAACUCAGCGUAAUUUAUUCUGGGCUGAUUUCGGCCCAGUCAGGAUGGGCUCAGCCAAAUGUAAUUGGGCUAAGCCAAUCCCAAUAUAUUGGUAUAAUAAUGUUAUAUAAUAUAAUAUUAUAUAUUAAAAAAAAGUUUUUUUUAAAAAAAUUCUAAAUCCUUUGAAAAACUUCUUUGGGAUUUUCUCACAAGUUUUUUUUUAUCAUUUUGGGUUCAUAUCGAUUUGUAUUUGUAUACUGUAAAGAUAUAGAUCUGAUAAUAAAAUAUCUGGUUUUGUUUGAAAUAUUGCAAAAAAAUUAUAUCAAAAACAAAAAAAAAUAUUUUUUUUCAUGCAUACGGCCAACUCUGUCAAAAAAUAAAAAAACAUCAUAUUGUACUUUCAUACAACAAAAACAAUUACAGAAAAUGUUUAGCAUGUAUUUUGGCUUUAAUAACCAGUUUAUUAAAGUCAUGAGAAGUAAGCCAACAUUUUAAAAAUACCCAAAAAAUAUUUUUAUUUUUUUAGUAACUGGGAUUCUGAAUUUAUAUGUAAAACGUAUUCCCGAUGUUAAAAUGUAUUUUUUUAUAGACAUUAGAACGGUUAGGUUCUUACCUAAUAAGAUAAGGACCUCUUUACCGAGCAGGACUUUUCUUAACUCAUAGACAGACCAAUAAUUAGAAAACACAACAAGACCUUAGUUUUUUUUAUUAAACGAUAAACAAUGCAGCUUACCUUAGGUAGGGCUUAUUAGGGGUGCUAAUACAUUCCCUUUAUGCAACCAGUCUUCAUGCCCGAUCCCUGAGACCAGUUAGGGUUUCUGAUGAUCAAAAUACUAGGUGGCGACUCUCAUUUCCCUUUUUCAUGGAUGAAAGACAAGAAAUCCUUGUCUACUCUAUUUUUCAAUUUCCAAAUACUUAAAAGAGUGGACGAUUGUUGCGAUGCCGCACACGUGUGACAGACCACAUGGACCACCAAGGGUUAACAAUAACUGCUCAUACAAUCACCUAAGUUGAGUCGUCAUGUACCAAAGUUAAGCCAUCUCAGAACUAAGCUGGGAUGUCUGAGCCUUAACUUAUUCUCGUACAAUCGCCUAGAUGACUAAAGAUUGGGGGCGUAAACCCAAUUACGAGGAACAAAAGGUCGAUACACUAGGACUCAUCUGUAUAUCCUUAAUCAUAGUGUUAGAGAUACCAUAAAUUCAAUUUAUAUCGAGUCCACCAGACGAUCCAGCGUCCAACCACAAAUCCAAAUCGAGUUUUGGAUGGGUCGAAGGAUCAUCCUUGUAUCUCUCCUGCAAACGGGUAUUAUAUGUUUCCUGAAAAAAGAAAAAAAACAAUCAACAAAUUAAAAAAAUAAUAACAUAAUAAAAAAAAUUGUUAAAAUUCAAUUUACCAUGAACUUUUGAGCUUGGCUAUCCACAAGCUAUUAUACCCCUUUCCAUCAGUUGUCAUUUUGCAUGUGAGUUUUAACAAAAAGAUUUAUCGGUCUUGGAUCAUGUCCAAGAACUGUAACCUGCAAAAGAGAGUUACUGUUUGUUAAACAUUAAAUAUUUUAUAUAAAACAACAAUCUAAAAAAAAUAUACAUAAUAAAACAAUAUCUUACCAUCCUCUUUACAAGCGAAAUGAACAAAAUGAAUUUAGUAAGAGUUUAGACACAUGUCAAUUAACUAGUAUUCUAGGCCAAAGGGUUUCAUCAUGGAUUUAGCAGUAUAUAAGUUCGCUUUCAGCCUAUUCCCUUUAGAUAAAAUGCUUCUUGUUCAUUCGAUCAUUUUGUCGUAACCGCCCUAGCUCAACCCAUGAUCUAACUUAAUGGUGAACACCUGUGCAACAAUCGAUAAUUUACUAUGAUUUGUGGAACCAUACCAUAAUGGUUCGUCAAAAUCUUUCAAUUAGUUCUUCAUCUACAAUUGAACAUUCACAUGCAUUACCCUAAUUCAUUCUCAUUGCAUCCAUAAUCAUACUCCUAUAACGAUUAUUAUUAUCAUUUACAAUUCCAUUAUUGCUAGAACUAAAAGUCGACCCAAGCAUCCUUUAUACCAUGAUCUUGUACAGAACAUAUGAUUCUACAUGUGCAAACCAACACAAGUACUUCUUUAAGCACUUUUUUUUUCUAGAAGAUGUAUCGUAAUAACAUCUAGAUCGAGAAACUUUUAUUUUUACACCUUUUACAUGGAAAUUUAAUACCGCAUCCACUAAUAUUUUUGGAUUAGAUAGUGUGUAUUUAAUAAAACGCUUAACCCCAUUAUAAUAAUUUAUUUCGCGCAACCUUUAAGGUGAAACUCGAUACAUCCAAGGACGAUCGACAAUUACAUAUAUGAAACCUAUAUAGAAUAUUAAUGACAACAUGUAUUAAUUAAUAAUGUGAACUAAAGAAAUUAUCGAUGCCCAACUAAUUAACUAUCAUUAGUUUAACUCAAAUUUAUUCACUCUAUUUUAACAGUACCCUUAAAUCAUUAUUAAUUUUCUACAAAAGCUCAAAUUCCUUCAAAUUUGUUGAGAUUUUCAAUUUAACAAAAAAUUGAUAAAAUAUGAAAUGUACCUAUUAAAUAAGCCAUUAUUUAUGUCAUCAUGUAAUUUUUUAUUCUUUCUUUAUUUUUGUGUAGUAAAAAACUAAAUGAAAUUAUGGAAAAAAUAAAAUGAAAGAAGAAUAAAUUGAAAUUUGGUUCAAGACAACACAAAUUAAAAGCUUUGAGUAUUAAUGAGGGUGAAAUUAUAAAUCUAGGAGUUAAUUUUGGUAGAAAUUCAAAGAAUUAAUAAGUUUAGAGACUUAAUUGAACUUUGAAUAGUUUAAUUAAUGAAAUCAGGGGCUUAAUUGAAGAAAUACCAAUGUUUGGGGGCUGAUUUGGGUCAAAAUUGCAAGAAUUGAAGUCCAAGGACCAAAGUGAAAAUUCAGGGGUACAAUAGGUAGUUUAAUUGAUUUUUUCAAGGGUAAUUUUGAAAGAAUUAAAAGUUAAAGAGUCAAUUAAGAACUGAAUUAGAAACUAAGGACUCUUUUGUAAAUAGCGUUGGAAUGCAAGGGUCCAAUUGCAAUUAAUCCAGGAGCAAAAAAAAAAAUAUAAUGAAGAAGAAAUUUCCUUAAAUAAGGGCCUGAUUGAAAGAUAUCAGAACUUCAGUGUCCAAAUUGAAGAAUGACCAACUCAGUCGAAAACAAUAUUGUUUCUACAUGUACUGUUUCUUCUUCUUGUUCCUCUGGAACUGAAAAUCCGCCUACGAAAAAGGGAAAGAAGAGUGAAAUGAUGGUGUCCCCAUCCUACCCAACACCACAGCCAAGGUCACCCCAUAUGGCUGGGCUAGAUCCAACCAAAAAAUGACAGAUAUUUGUUGUUUCUAUCAUAGAAAAUUAAAGGCCACCAUGAUGUCUCUGUGUGACAAUUUAUUUUAUUAUAAAACACAUAAGUUACAAAAUCAAACUCAUUUUCAUCAAAUGACAAACAAAUAUAAUUUUUUAAAAUUUCAAACAAACCAUAACAUGCACAAAUCAUAUAAUAAAUUUAUAUGGAAAAACGCUAUAAAACAAGUAAACACACAAACGAAUUACAUAUACUACAUCAAAAUGCAAAAAAAAAAAAUCAAUAUUUUGAAAAUGGAUUACAAAAAAAAAAAAAAGGUAGUUUUGUUACUUGAUGUGGUGAAUAUUCAAAAAACAUUGAACCAGAAUAGGGUUACUGACAAACUUAGUGUUGGGGUGACUAGAUUCAUAAUGAUGAUAGCUUGAUUUGUGACAAAAUAUGUGGGUAUUGUGUGUUGUUUUCUACAAAAUGAAAAGGAAGAAGAAGAAAUUAGGGAGGAGGAGAGGAGGGUUGUCUAUCAAGAUAUAACAUAAAUAUUAUCGACAGACGACGAGUAUUAAUAAAGAGUAUAUUUUCUCGGUAAUUCCAUUUGUAAUAAUGGCACUUUAUUUUUUUCAUUCAUUCAUUUCUUACUGUAUUUUUCUUAGUAUUCACCGAUGAAAAAUUUAUAUCAGUAUAUACUGAGAGAAAUAGCGAGGAAAUAUUCCGUUAAUAAAAGUCAUUGUGAUUUAUUGACGAGUUUUUUUUUUUAGUAUUUCUAUUUAUAUUUGACAAUUUUCUAAUUGUGAUAUAUAUUGGACAAUGAACCGUGAAUCGCUGUCUCUCUUCUAAUUUAAUUUUAAUUUUGUAAGUUUGAUGAAAACAGUGGCAAAACCGCCAAACCUCAAGAAUGGUGUUUCCUUGUGAUCAUUUUUAUUUUAAACAUUUUUCAACAUUCUUCCUCAACAAAUUGGACUAUUUAAUGCAAAGCUUUUAUUUAUAAUAAAAAAACCGCAAGACAGCAUAAUUGCACAGCAUGACAUUUCUUUAUUUAGCUAAAGUAUUAAAACAAAAGGUCCCUGCUCCUAUCAUGACUUGUGAGAAUAGUGAUCCAACUAAGCUUUGCUGGAGAUGAAUUCCACUUCAUUUCUUAAUCCCAUUUGUUGUGGAAGAGGUGGGAUGCUUUGUUCGUGUCUGAAGAAAUUAUCAGGAUCAACUUUGGUCUUCACAUGCACCAACCUGUUGAAGUUAUCCUUGAAGUAGUUGGUACCAAAAGCACUCGCUUCGACAAAACUUGUUUUAGAAUUUCUGUUCAUGCCCAAAUCAAGAUCCCUGUAAUUAGCAUAUGCUUCCCUAGGAUUCUUUGAGACAUAAGGUGUCAUGUAACUGUAAACCUUCCUAGUCCAAUUUAUAUGCUUUGCAACGUUUUCCGUUGCAUCUUGCCAACUGGACCAGUAAAGGAUCAUGAACUUGGUACCUUUUCUAUGAGGGAAAGGAGUCUGAGAUUCUGAAAUUUGGUUCA